CGUGACUGCGAGCAUGAUCAGAACGCACUCAUCAAAAAAUUAGAAGCUUUUUCAUGAUAGAAAACCUCGGUGAGGCAAAUCACCAAAAAAACGUUGCUAAUGGUUACCUGAACACAGUUUUUGUUGGUAGAAGCAAUUUUUAUCCGGCGGCGUACGAAAUGGCAAGCAACCGGUACUUCAGGAUAAACACGAGUAACGAAAGAUCGGCAGUGAUAACGACAGCAUAGUACAAACAUGUUCGUGAGAGAAGAAAAACUGAGAAGCCGCCAGGCGGGGAUCGCCAUCAAUAAACGUGACUUCGUACCAAGGCUUUGUGGGCUUGCUCUGACACGACGAAUGACGAAGUGCCAAUGCUCGAAACGCCAGCGUUGAAACUCAAAACGGUGGCCAAUUUACAUUAUCAACUCAGCUGAUAAAAUCAAAUUAUCUUGUAAUAGCCCUUAUCGACUCAGCACCACAUGCAGAGCUCCUGGUUCACAGCAACUUUUUCCCGACAGCUAAGAAUUUUAUCAUCACAUUGUAUACUAGAAUCAACAGCGAUCAAGAAAGAACUGAAAUUGUCCAAAUAUAUAUCAGAAAGAGCAAAAGGCCAAAUACAGAGCCUUAAACUGACAUGUGCUACAGAUUGUAAAAGUCCUUCCAGAUUUAUGCAGACCUAGUAUUAUCGUCUGCAUUUGGCCUGUAGGAUAAGACGAGAGCCAAAUGUAUGUGACUUUGUGAAAACUAUAGUGAUAUCAUGACCAUAUAUGAAAAUAAAAUUUUAUUACCAACUUUUUUAAACGAAUUGUUAAGAUCAGUAAAAUUGUUACGGGAAAAGAGGCGUUUGACUGUAUUAUUAUGUUUAACAUGUUACGCUAUCAAGCGUCGGAGGAACUUGCUGUGGACUGCACCAUGAACGCCAAUCGAAAGGCACCAAGGAGUCUCGAACUGCCUUUUUCUGCUUAAUCUAAUUAUUCCAUUUUUCCAGUACACAAUUCUACUUACAUCCAAGUCCUCUUCAUUCUGUGUAACUCAGGCUAAUCUCUUGGGCUCUCACACUUUGAUUCUCACUGGAUACUUCUUAGUUAAGAUGCUAAACGCUCGUUUAAACCACGAAAUUCUUUCUUUACUCUUCUGCACACUAUCCACAUUUUUCUAGUAUACUCUAUAAUCACUAUUGAUAGAUAUGAGCAUGUCGGUCGACUGACUUCGGGAGAUUAAACAUUUGUUGUUAGAACACUACUGAAAUAACUUCGGACUAUGAAUUCAUAUAAUAACUACAUUCUAGUUAUCAUCAAGUAGGUUUUUAUUAGUCACGGUGUUAAAUAACAUAUCCAAAAGAGAAAUGUAAUCAUUUGUCUCGCGAUGUGGUCACUUUGGAUGUGGAUGUACGUUCUAAAUAUAGACGAAAGACGAUAUCAAAUUGAACCGACCAACUAACUGAAUAUAACUAACUGACUAGACUUAGUGAAUACUUCAUUACAAACAUUUACAACAUCGAGAAUUAC